rnacentral:lncRNA from 1 species
GCCAGGGAUCCUGCUGAACAUCCUCCAGAUUCAAACCUGGAUCCCAGCAGGGGAGGGACAUUUGACCAGGGAGGCAGCCUUCUGCCCUUCGCAUUUUAUCUCCCGGUCACCUGUCUCCCUUUGUUCAGGAACCAACAAAAGGCAAAUCCCGAUUCAUGAAGGAGACCGAAACUUGACAUUUGCUUUUCUUUGAGGCCACAGUUGAGGAGUCAAACAAGCACCGUCAGGUGAAAAUGUCAAGGUAAUUGAGGGCUGGAGUGGAGAAGAAGGAUCAGAGGAAAAGCAAACAGCCAGACAAGUUAUGGAUGCAUCACAGAAUUUCAGACCUAGAAGGAAACAGAAAGCUCAUCCAAUUCAGUCUGCUCGUUUCAUAGAGUUGGGCAAUGAGGCUCAGAGAGGCCCAGAUAAGAGGCUCCUCUGA